rnacentral:rRNA from 1 species
AUGCUUCUCCUAAAGACUAAGCCAUGCAUGCCUCCGAAUAAGAAGAAGCAAUUCUCUCUGAAUCUGCGAACGGCUCCGCAAACCAGUUGUAAACUAGCGCAAGCAAGCUCGGGGUCGGCCUUCACGGGUCGGCUUCGGGUGAUAAGGAUAACCCUGGUAAUUCUGAGGCUAAUACAUGACCAUACAACCUGGACGACCGGCUUCGGCUGGGAGACCGGGGGACGUGUAGACAAAGCUUGGGGUAAUCAGGAAGGGGUG